AACCAGUAUUAGAGGCACUGCCUGCCCAGUGACUGAUAGUUAAACGGCCGCGGUAUCCUGACCGUGCAAAGGUAGCAUAAUCACUUGUUCUCUAAAUAAGGACUUGUAUGAACGGCCACACGAAGGUUUUACUGUCUCUUACUUUUAAUCAGUGAAAUUGACCUUCCCGUGAAGAGGCGGGAAUAACAAAACAAGACGAGAAGACCCUAUGGAGCUUCAAUUAAUCAACCCAAUAACCCACAACCUCAAACCACCAAGGGAUAAAAAAAACUUAUAUGGGUUGACAAUUUCGGUUGGGGUGACCUCGGAGCACAAAAACCCCUCCGAGUGAUUAAAGCCUAGGCCUACCAGCCAAAGCAUAACAUCACUUAUUGAUCCAAAGCUUUGAUCAACGGAACAAGUUACCCUAGGGAUAACAGCGCAAUCCUAUUCUAGAGUCCAUAUCGACAAUAGGGUUUACGACCUCGAUGUUGGAUCAGGACAUCCUAAUGGUGCAGCCGCUAUUAAGGGUUCGUUUGUU
rnacentral:rRNA from 1 species